UAUCAAAUAAAAAAAUAUGAACUUUUCAAAAAUAAUUUCAUUCAUUUGUUUUCUUUUCUAUGUUUGGAGUCAAGAGCAGAGAAAAUUAAUAUUUCCCACAAGAAACGAUGCCCAAAUUUUGUGCUAUCCACGGAACAUGACUGUCAAGAAAAUACAAGCACUGGGAGGAACUUAUUGGAAGUGUUGGUUUCCCGGAAUGUCCCACUAUGAAGAAGAAAAUUCGAACUCAAGAAUACAAAAAAAAUCCCAAACAAUAAGAUGACAGUAAUUUGUCAAAGAAGGCAUUCUAAUUUCAACUCAUUACAUCAAUUAGACAGGAGGAAUUUCCAGCUAAUGAAGAAGAAUAAAAAUGAAAAACAUUUAACAUAUAAAAAGACAGAGAAAAGAAAGAAAAAGAUGACAAUCUAAAAAGUGAUACAUCUAAAAAUAUAGACUGAAACUGCAGUAGUAUCACGCCAGAACUAAACGAAUUAGAGAGGGUGGAAACGUCGCUUUAAUGCUUGAGUGUACAUUUACAAAGGACAGACUUUUUUUUAACUGGUUCAAUUAAAGUCAGUUAAAUUCUAAAAUUUUAUAGGUGGCUUAAGAAGAUAAAAUAUUAAUAUCUCUCAAAUAAAAGGUGGACUUACAGACUUACAAUGUCCGUAAAACGUAAACACGUCACUGCAUUGGAACGCUAACUUCUCUCUAUUUAUCUCUCUCUCUCACACACACACAUCGCAUCGCCACAAGAUAAACAUCUUAGGACCAAACUCUGAAGCCAUCCUGUACCACCGACUAGCUUAACUUCCUAUGAUUUCUGGAUAAGUGUGUAUGUGUGAAUGCGCAUUUAUAGGUGUCUAGUGCACACACACAAUGCAGAGAAACUGCUUUGUGGCUUUGUACGUUUCACCGAAACAAUAGACAUCGUGAGGUCACGAGGGGUGUGUUUAUGACACCCGUUAGAUAAACAGGCUUUGAUACACUCCCGAAAUAAUCUCCUAUUAAUCUGUAUAAUAAUGUUCUGGUCAGCUAGAUUGCAUUGUCUUGUCAUUAAUCGACUAAAUGUUGCAAACAAAAUCAAAGAAUAAUGUUUAUAUUAACUUUCUAAAACUGUUGUAUUGGCUGUUUCAUGUUUGUCACAUUUUUGGAAGCAGAGGCCAUUAAAACCGCAAAAGAAAGAAAAAACUCUCUAAAACUGAAUUAAGUGGAAGUUGAACCUCUAAUUUACGUUAGUAAAAAUAUUAACUACAGUGAGAAAAAAAACUAUUGAUUCAAUAGCACCAAUGAUAUUUUCAAUUUUUUUUUAAGGAAUAAUUUCUGAAUGGAAUUGAGUUGGAUAUUAAAAUAGAAUUAUUCAUAAUUUACAACUAGAAACAUAAUGUUGUCUAGCGAA